UCUCCGUAGGUGAACCUGCGGAGGGAUCAUUACAGAGUUCAUGCCCUUACGGGUAGAUCUCCACCCUAUGUUAUCGUUACCUUUGUUGCUUUGGCGGGCCGUCAGGCCUCGGUCAGACUACCGGCUCCGGCUGGUAAGUGCCCGCCAGAGGAUAUCAAACCUUGAAUUUAAUGUCGUCUGAGUACUAUAUAAUAGUCAAAACUUUCAACAACGGAUCUCUUGGUUCUG
rnacentral:misc_RNA from 1 species